CAAAACGUACGAAAACAAACGGCGAGAAGAGAAGAGAAGAGAAAGAAGAUGAAAAGAAGAGAAGAGAAAGAAGAUGAAAAGAAAAGAAGGAGGAAAAGCAGAAAGCUGCUCUCAAAGUGAGGAUAUUCUUCACUGCGGCAGCGCCGAACAGCAGCUAACAGCAGCUAACAGCAGCUAACAGCGGCUAACAGCAGCAACCCACAACCGGCGAGUGAAACGGCGACGUUGACACCUGUUGGGGAGGGUCCGUUGUCGACGUGUGGAGAUGAACAACUAAAUGAGACAGGGACGGGCUGUGACAGUGAGAGAGCUGGAGUCAUCCAGCCAGGCUUUGAGGAUCAUCUUGUUCCAUCAGAUCCUCGUCCACUCUGCUAGCGAGCGGUCAGCACAGUGUGCUUCUUGAAGAUGACCCGGCACUCUGGCCAACAGUUGUACAGUCAUGAAUUAGAACUUUUAUAGUGAAAUCAGUUCUAUGUUUGUGAUCUAUCUUAAAUAUUCUAUCAGAGAAGCUACUGGUAGAAAACUAGUCCAGCAGGGACGAGCUCCAACUGUGGCAGGUGGCAGCAAGCAGUGGCACUUCCUGUGGCAGCAUAGUUCUGCCGCGGCAUGUGCCGCAGUCCUGGCAGCUGCCGCGGGCGUGCUGCCGCGGGCGUGCUGCGGCAAAUGCUGGUCCUGAGUGUUUUUCAGCGAUACAUUUAGUGAUACGAUUGAGCUGCGGGAUGAAUUAAUGAGUCAUGCUGCCAUGAAUGAGUGUGUAUAUAAAAGCAUUAAUUAAGCAAUCAAUUAUUUUUUUAUUAAAUGUGACAAUAUGUAAUUAAGUUUAAUUCAGGAAGCUUGUUGUUUACGUGCUCUGUACUGUUUUUUAAAAAUAUGACCAAUAUAAUAUACAUGAAAGUGCAUGAUGUGUUUCCGCCUAUGGCCUGAGAGAGAAAAAUGAAAUCACCAUGAAUCUCAACUGAAUCUGCCACAGACCUGCCGGGGCAGGUGGGGGCCCUGAGUGUUUUUCCCCUGUUCAGUGAUGAGAUGAGGCUGCAGGAUCUAUCCAUCUAUCUGUUGGAGCUCUUUAUUGAUUUAUUGGUAUUUAGUGUUGUUUAGUUUAGAUUUGAUUAUUCUGAAUCAAUUUAUUUGAUUUCAUUAUAUUAGAUUUCUGUUAUUCUCUUUAUUUGUUUAGUAUAGGUGUUUCCUUGUUUGUCAUUUGUGGUUUUGUUUCAUUUGGGCACGUUAGGGGGGCACCCGAUGAUAUAAGUAGGGCUACAGUAAGGGACCAGCAUGCACCUGGGUGGGCAGCACUGUGGAAUGUCUUAGUUCUUCGCUUGCUCGCUGUUUGGUCAAAUAAAACACGUUUUUUGUUGAAACUGAA